rnacentral:rRNA from 1 species
CGUGCAGGAAGAAGGUCUUCGGAUUGUAAACUGUUGUCGCAAGGGAAGAAGACAGUGACGGUUCCUUGUGAGAAAGUCACGGCUAACUACCUGCCAGCAGCCGCGGUAAUACGUAGGUGACAAGCGUUGUCCGGAUUUGCUGGGUGUGAAGGGCGCGUAGGCGGACUGUCAAGUCAGUCAUGAAAUACCGGGCCUUACCCCCGGGGCUGCGAUUGAAACUGACAGCCUUGAGUAUCGGAGAGGAAAGCGGAAUUCCUAGUGUAGCGGUGAAAUGCGUAGAUAUUAGGAGGAACACCGGUGGCGAAGGCGGCUUUCUGGACGACAACUGACGCUGAUGCGCGAAAGUGUGGGGAGCAAACAUGAUUAGAUACCCUGGUAGUCCACACCGUAAACGAUGGAUACUAGGUGUAGGAGGUAUCGACCCCUUCUGUGCCGCAGUUAACACAAUAAGUAUCCCACCUGGGGAGUACGACCGCAAGGUUGAAACUCAAAUGAAAUUGACGGAGA